GAGUUUGAUCCUGGCUCAGGAUGAACGCUGGCGGCGUGCCUAACACAUGCAAGUCGAGCGGAGCAAUCUUGAUGAAGUUUUCGGAUGGAAUCAGGAUUGACUUAGCGGCGGACGGGUGAGUAACACGUGGAUAACCUGCCUUAUACUGGGGGAUAACAGCCAGAAAUGGCUGCUAAUACCGCAUAAGCGCACGGCGCCGCAUGGCGCAGUGUGAAAAACUCCGGUGGUAUAAGAUGGAUCCGCGCCUGAUUAGCUAGUUGGCGGGGCAGCGGCCCACCAAGGCGACGAUCAGUAGCCGGCCUGAGAGGGCGACCGGCCACAUUGGGACUGAGACACGGCCCAAACUCCUACGGGAGGCAGCAGUGGGGAAUAUUGCACAAUGGGGGGAACCCUGAUGCAGCGACGCCGCGUGAAAGGAGAAGUAUUUCGGUAUGUAAAGCUCUAUCAG
rnacentral:rRNA from 1 species